rnacentral:rRNA from 1 species
UACGUAGGGGCGGAGCGUUAUCCGGAAUUAUUGGGCGUAAAGGGUUCGCAGGCGGCCUUGUAAGUCAGAUGUGAAAGACAGCGGCUUAACCGUUGUAAGCAUUUGAAACUGCAGGGCUUGAGUACAGGAGAGGAAAGCGGAAUUCCUAGUGUAGCGGUGAAAUGCGUAGAUAUUAGGAGGAACACCAGUGGCGAAGGCGGGUAACUGGACUGCAACUGACGCUGAGGCGCGAAAGUGUGGGGAGCAAACAGGAUUAGAUACCCGCGUAGUCCCU